UUAUAAUAAAGAAAUGUUUAAUUCGCAAUAUAUUAUUAUUGCAUUCAAUCAGAUAUGCUUACUUAUUUUUACGUCUUCGUUAAGUUUUCUAGCAAUCGCAGGCACCGGUGGAAAAAGUCUCAGAGUUUCCAAAAUAACUCUUUCAAGAUAUUUCAUUUCCAAAGUAUCUUGGAAAGUGCAUUGCCUGUCGCUGUCGCCGAAAAUUGCAUCUAAUUCUUCAUGCACGCGAGUCUGUGUAUAGUAAAAAUCACACUGUUAUAUAUAAAGAUCAAUAAGAAAUCAUCAAGUUGAAGGGACAGCAAUCGAUUUGCGAUUAAUAUCGAAAUCAGAGAGCAUCGAUAAUUCUAACAAGAACGAAAGAAAGUGAAUGUCACCCAAACUGCAAUGAUUAAGAAAUUGGUGGAAAACAUAAAAGAGGACCUAAUUUACAUGACAUCAUAGGCAGAACUUGUGGAAGUAUGUGUAUAAAUGUGUCGUAAGCUUCUUACAUAUACAAUUUGUCAACUCAUUAAAAAGAAACUGUAUUACAUAAUAACACUAUAUAAAUAUGUAUAAAGUAAUAAUAAUUCCAUUUAUAUAAA